AGUGAACGCUGGCGGUAGGCCUAACACAUGCAAGUCGAACGGCAGCACAGGAGAGCUUGCUCUCUGGGUGGCGAGUGGCGGACGGGUGAGGAAUACAUCGGAAUCUACUUUUUCGUGGGGGAUAACGUAGGGAAACUUACGCUAAUACCGCAUACGACCUACGGGUGAAAGCAGGGGACCUUCGGGCCUUGCGCGAUUGAAUGAGCCGAUGUCGGAUUAGCUGGGUGGCGGGGUAAAGGCCCACCAAGGCGACGAUCCGUAGCUGGUCUGAGAGGAUGAUCAGCCACACUGGAACUGAGACACGGUCCAGACUCCUACGGGAGGCAGCAGUGGGGAAUAUUGGACAAUGGGCGCAAGCCUGAUCCAGCCAUACCGCGUGGGUGAAGAAGGCCUUCGGGUUGUAAAGCCCUUUUGUUGGGAAAGAAAUCCAGCUGGCUAAUACCCGGUUGGGAUGACGGUACCCAAAGAAUAAGCACCGGCUAACUUCGUGCCAGCCGCCGCCGUAC
rnacentral:rRNA from 1 species